GUGGGGAAUAUUGGACAAUGGGCGCAAGCCUGAUCCAGCCAUGCCGCGUGAGUGAAGAAGGCCUUCGGGUUGUAAAGCUCUUUUGUUGGGGAAGAAAAGCUUCUGGUUAAUACCCGGGAGUCCUGACGGUACCCAAAGAAUAAGCACCGGCUAACUUCGUGCCAGCAGCCGCGGUAAUACGAAGGGUGCAAGCGUUACUCGGAAUUACUGGGCGUAAAGCGUGCGUAGGUGGUUCGUUAAGUCUGAUGUGAAAGCCCUGGGCUCAACCUGGGAACUGCAUUGGAUACUGGCGAUCUGGAGUGCGGUAGAGGGUGGCGGAAUUCCCGGUGUAGCAGUGAAAUGCGUAGAUAUCGGGAGGAACAUCCGUGGCGAAGGCGGCCACCUGGACCAGCACUGACACUGAGGCACGAAAGCGUGGGGAGCAA
rnacentral:rRNA from 1 species